rnacentral:tRNA from 1 species
GGCUCUGUAGUGAAGUUCAUAGUGAGUUGCAAACUCAUUGAUGUGCGUUAAUCAUGCACCGGGGCCU